rnacentral:rRNA from 1 species
AACGAACGCUGGCGGCAUGCCUAACACAUGCAAGUCGAACGAGACCUUCGGGUCUCGUGGCGCACGGGUGCGUAACGCGUGGGAACCUGCCCUUAGGUUCGGACUAACUCCCCGAAAGGGGUUCUAAUACCGGAUAAUGUCCUCGGACCACAGAUUUAUCGCGUUUGGAUGCGCCCGCGUUGGAUUCCCUAGUUGGUAGGGUAAAAGCCUACCAAGGCGACGAUCCAUAGAUGGUCUGAGAGGAUGAUCAGCCACACUGGGACUGAGACACGGCCCAGACUCCUACGGGAGGCAGCAGUGGGGAAUAUUGGACAAUGGGCGAAAGCCUGAUCCAGCAAUGCCGCGUGAGUGAUGAAGGCCUGAGGGUUGUAAAGCUCUCUUACCCGGGAAGAUAAUGACAGUACCGGGAGAAUAAGCUCCGGCUAACUCCGUG